GAUGAACGCUAGCGGCAGGCCUAAUACAUGCAAGUCGAACGAGAUUAAGAGGCUUGCUUCUUAUGAAAGUGGCGCACGGGUGCGUAACGCGUAUGCAACCUACCUUAAUCAGGGGGAUAGCCCGAAGAAAUUCGGAUUAAGACCGCAUAAAAACACAGGAUAGCAUUAUCCAAUGUUCAAAUAUUUAUAGGAUUAAGAUGGGCAUGCGUGUCAUUAGCUAGUUGGCGGGGUAACGGCCCACCAAGGCGACGAUGACUAGGGGAUCUGAGAGGAUGACCCCCCACACUGGUACUGAGACACGGACCAGACUCCUACGGGAGGCAGCAGUAAGGAAUAUUGGUCAAUGGAGGGAACUCUGAACCAGCCAUGCCGCGUGCAGGAAGACAGCCCUCUGGGUCGUAAACUGCUUUUAGUCGGGAAUAAACCUUUCUACGUGUAGGAAGCUGAAUGUACCGAAGGAAUAAGGAUCGGCUAACUCCGUG
rnacentral:rRNA from 1 species